GACGAACGCUGGCGGCGUGCUUAACACAUGCAAGUCGAACGAUGACGCCCGAGCUUGCUCGGUCUGAUUAGUGGCGAACGGGUGAGUAACACGUGAGCAACCUGCCCUUCACUCUGGGAUAACCUCGGGAAAUCGGGGCUAAUACCGGAUAUGAGCUCCUGUCGCAUGGCGGGUGUUGGAAAGUUUUUCGGUGAAGGAUGGGCUCGCGGCCUAUCUGUUUGUUGGUGGGGUAGUGGCUCACCAAGGCGAUGACGGGUAGCCGGCCUGAGAGGGCGACCGGCCACACUGGGACUGAGACACGGCCCAGACUCCUACGGGAGGCAGCAGUGGGGAAUAUUGCACAAUGGGCGAAAGCCUGAUGCAGCGACGCCGCGUGAGGGAUGACGGCCUUCGGGUUGUAAACCUCUUUCAGCAGGGAAGAAGCGAAAGUGACGGUACCUGCAGAAGAAGCGCCGGCUAACUACGUG
rnacentral:rRNA from 1 species